rnacentral:rRNA from 1 species
AAAUGAAUUGACGGGGACCCGCACAAGCGGUGGAGGAUGUGGUUUAAUCCGACGCAACGCGCAGAACCUUACCGAGGUUUGACAUCCCAGGAAAGCCGCCGAAAGGUGGCCGUGCCUUCGGGAGCCUGGUGACAGAUGCUGCAUGGCCGUCGUCAGCUCGUGUCGUGAGAUGUUGGGUUAAGUCCCGCAACGAGCGCAACCCUUGUCGUAUGUUGUUUUUUCAUACGAGACUGCCCGGGCCAACCGGGAGGAAGGUGGGGAUGACGUCUGGUCGGCAUGGCUCUUACACCUCGGGCCACACACGUCCUACAAUGGGUAGUACAAUGGGCAGCCAAAUCGUAAGAUGGAGCAAAUCCCACCAAAACUACCCCCAGUUCGGAUUGAGGGCUGAAACUCGCCCUCAUGAAGUUGGAAUCGCUAGUAAUGGCAGGUCAGCACACUGCCGUGAAUACGUUCCCGGGUCUUGUACACACCGCCCGU